rnacentral:tRNA from 1 species
UGCUCGAUAGCUUAGUUGGUAAAGCACUCGUCUAGUAUACGAGACUCGGGGGUUCGAAUCCCAACCGAGCAC